CUCCAACCCCUGUGACAUACCAAUUGUUGCCUCGGCGGAUCAGCCCGCUCCCGGUAAAACGGAACGGCCCGCCAGAGGACCCCUAAACUCUGUUUCUAUAUGUAACUUCUGAGUAAAACCAUAAAUAAAUCAAAACUUUCAACAACGGAUCUCUUGGUUCUGGCAUCGAUGAAGAACGCAGCAAAAUGCGAUAAGUAAUGUGAAUUGCAGAAUUCAGUGAAUCAUCGAAUCUUUGAACGCACAUUGCGCCCGCCAGUAUUCUGGCGGGCAUGCCUGUUCGAGCGUCAUUUCAACCCUCAAGCCCCCGGGUUUGGUGUUGGGGAUCGGCGAGCCUCACGGCAAGCCGGCCCCGAAAUACAGUGGCGGUCUCGCUGCAGCUUCCAUUGCGUAGUAGUAAAACCCUCGCAACUGGUACGCGGCGCGGCCAAGCCGUUAAACCCCCAACUUCUGAAUGUUGACCUCGGAUCAGGUAGGAAUACCCGCUGAACUUAAGC
rnacentral:rRNA from 1 species